UACGUAGGGAGCAAGCGUUGUCCGGAAUCAUUGGGCGUAAAGCGCGCGUAGGUGGCCUCAUAAGUCCGCUGUGAAAGUCAAAGGCUCAACCUUUGAAAGCCGGUGGAUACUGUGAGGCUAGAGUACGGAAGAGGCGAGUGGAAUUCCCGGUGUAGCGGUGAAAUGCGCAGAUAUCAGGAAGAACACCCGUGGCGAAGGCGGCUCUCUGGAACGCAACUGACGCUGAGACGCGAAAGCGUGGGGAGCAAACAGG
rnacentral:rRNA from 1 species